rnacentral:rRNA from 1 species
CCUACGGGCGGCAGCAGUGGGGAAUAUUGGACAAUGGGGGGAACCCUGAUCCAGCGACGCCGCGUGAGUGAAGAAGUAUUUCGGUAUGUAAAGCUCUAUCAGCAGGGAAGAAAGAAAUGACGGUACCUGACUAAGAAGCCCCGGCUAACUACGUGCCAGCAGCCGCGGUAAUACGUAGGGGGCAAGCGUUAUCCGGAUUUACUGGGUGUAAAGGGAGCGUAGACGGUUACGCAAGUCUGGAGUGAAAGGCGGGGGCUCAACCCCCGGACUGCUUUGGAAACUGUAUAACUGGAGUGCAGGAGAGGUAAGUGGAAUGCCUAGUGUAGCGGUGAAAUGCGUAGAUAUUAGGAGGAACACCAGUGGCGAAGGCGGCUUACUGGACUGUAACUGACGUUGAGGCUCGAAAGCGUGGGGAGCAAACAGGAUUAGAUACCCGGGUAGUC